UAUCUUCUAUUGCUAAUGGUCAGAGCAGACGGCUCAUAACCGUCCUGUCGUAGGUUCGAGUCCUACAGGGUAUAU
rnacentral:tRNA from 1 species